rnacentral:rRNA from 1 species
GUGGCCUACGGGGCGCAGCAGUGGGGAAUAUUGCACAAUGGGGGAAACCCUGAUGCAGCGACGCCGCGUGAGCGAAGAAGUAUUUCGGUAUGUAAAGCUCUCUCAGCAAGGAAGAUAAUGACGGUACUUGACUAAGAAGCUCCGGCUAAAUACGUGCCAGCAGCCGCGGUAAUACGUAUGGAGCAAGCGUUAUCCGGAUUUACUGGGUGUAAAGGGAGCGUAGACGGCAUGGCAAGUCUGAUGUGAAAGCCCGGGGCUCAACCCCGGAACUGCAU